rnacentral:rRNA from 1 species
AUUGAACGCUGGCGGCAUGCUUUACACAUGCAAGUCGAACGGUAACAGGCCGCAAGGUGCUGACGAGUGGCGAACGGGUGAGUAAUGCAUCGGAACGUGCCCAGUCGUGGGGGAUAACGCAGCGAAAGCUGUGCUAAUACCGCAUACGAUCUAUGGAUGAAAGCGGGGGACCGUAAGGCCUCGCGCGAUUGGAACGGCCGAUAUCAGAUUAGGUAGUUGGUGGGGUAAAGGCUCACCAAGCCAACGAUCUGUAGCUGGUCUGAGAGGACGACCAGCCACACUGGGACUGAGACACGGCCCAGACUCCUACGGGAGGCAGCAGUGGGGAAUUUUGGACAAUGGGCGCAAGCCUGAUCCAGCAAUGCCGCGUGCAGGAAGAAGGCCUUCGGGUUGUAAACUGCUUUUGUACGGAACGAAACGGUCUGGGUUAAUACCCUGGGCUAAUGACGGUACCGUAAGAAUAAGCACCGGCUAACUACGUGCCAGCCGCCGCAGUAACAC